UUCCUUCUGGCUCAUAUGGUAAAGAAUCUGCCUGCAAUACAGGAGACCCAGGUUCAAUUCCUGGGUUGGGAA
rnacentral:tRNA from 1 species